CAGUGCUUUCUCCAAGUUCUGGCCGCAUCCUUUAAAUGUAAUUUUGUGAGCACUGUCUUCAGAUUUUCAAAUGUAGGACGAUACAUUCCAGACUUAAGAUGUCCUCUAAUAUCCAGAGAUAUCACUUGUUUGUUUUGUUAUCUUCAACAGUUUCUGGUUCAGGAAUGUCUGAAGACAAAACAAGCCGCACUGUGGUGUCUACAAGCAUUGAUCACCUAUCUCUCAAACACUGAUGUCAAAUUAUAUGAGGAAUUGCUCUCUCAUCCAUGGAACACUGCUAUGCUUAGAAGUCAUGGUUCAGUUGACAGAUGAUAACCCUUUGUCCAUAGCUACAACUUUAGAUAUGCUUCAACUUGUGUUGGACAAUAACACUGGACACGCACUUGUCACAGAAUCUUUGGAGACAAUGCUGAUUGUGUCUCAAUUUCUCAAAGAACAAAAAGAAAAAUCUCCAUCUUCACGUCUUCAGGAUCAGUGUUGCAAUCUUGUCAAGAAGUUUCUACAAGUUGUCCCAGUUCAAUGCAAGCAGCAGUUUCAAGCAUCAUUUCAGGUCCAAGAAUGAAUGGACCUACCAAUACUGUGUAUUCUGAUGUAUGAAUCAAUUGAAUAAAAAGAAAUUCUUUAACCAUUUU
rnacentral:misc_RNA from 1 species